UACGUAGGUGGCAAGCGUUGUCCGGAUUUACUGGGCGUAAAGGGAGCGUAGGCGGAUACUUAAGUGGGAUGUGAAAUACCUGGGCUUAACUCGGGUGCUGCAUUCCAAACUGGGUGUCUAGAGUGUUGGAGAGGAAAGUGGAAUUCCUAGUGUAGCGGUGAAAUGCGUAGAGAUUAGGAAGAACACCAGUGGCGAAGGCGACUUUCUGGACAAUAACUGACGCUGAGGCUCGAAAGCGUGGGGAGCAAACAGGAUUAGAUACCCUGGUAGUCCACGCCGUAAACGAGGGGUACUAGGUGUAUGAGGUAUCGACUCCUCCUGUGCCGCCGUUAACACAAUAAGUACCCCGCCUGGGGAGUACGGUCGCAAGAUUAAA
rnacentral:rRNA from 1 species